rnacentral:rRNA from 1 species
AACGUAGGAGACAAACGUUAUCCGGAGUUACUGGGCGUAAAGGGCGUGUAGGUGGUUUUGUAAGUCUGGCGUGAAAUUUUUCGGCUUAACCGGGAAAGGUCGUCGGAUACUGCAGGACUAGAGGACGGUAGAGGCGAGUGGAAUUCCCGGUGUAGUGGUGAAAUGCGUAGAGAUCGGGAGGAACACCUGUGGCGAAGGCGGCUCGCUGGGCCGGUCCUGACGCUGAGACGCGAAGGCGCGGGAGGCGAACGGG